UACGUAGGGAGCAAGCGUUGUCCGGAAUCAUUGGGCGUAAAGGGCGCGUAGGCGGCCUGAUAAGUAGGGGGUGAAAUCCUGCGGCUUAACCGCAGGGCUGCCUUCUAAACUGUCAGGCUUGAGCACAGUAGAGGCAGGUGGAAUUCCCGGUGUAGCGGUGGAAUGCGUAGAGAUCGGGAAGAACAUCAGUGGCGAAGGCGGCCUGCUGGGCUGUUGCUGACGCUGAGGCGCGACAGCGUGGGGAGCAAACAGG
rnacentral:rRNA from 1 species